UAUUAAACACCGUACCUCGUUUGAUGCUAAUCAUGGUAUUUUUUAUUAUUUCAUUAAGUUAACAACCAUUCCCUUGGAAGAUGCUGCACAGUAAUCACUUUGUGUUGCAACAGCUCCGUUGGAUUGUCCUGCUCAGCUCUUCAGGAAUUUUUGGAGGGAUUUCUUUGGUUUCUGAAACUAGUAUAAAGAUUUGCUUCAAACCACAACACAGUGGGGAUCUCAUGAACUUCAAGCCCAGUGAUUAUGAAUGCUUCCAGGAGUUGAUGUCACUAACCAGUGGCUUGACCAUUUCUCACUUAUGCUACAGAAAGUUUGAAUGAAUGCAGCCAUGAUACAGACACAGUUCUCCAGAGAAGCAGGCAGAACACAGUAAUGGCAAACAGUUCUGAGACAGGACAGGAAGAAUGUGGGGAAAAGUAGCUUUAUAAUGCAGCCUGCAGGAUCAGUAAUUUAAGGGGAAUCUCAUUAAAAACUCUGAACAGACAAACAAAGUGGUAAUGUAUUCUUAAUGAGGCAAGGUGAUUUCCUGCUGUGCAAAUGUGCAAAGACCUGUAAAGCUGCAGUUCUCCUUCCACUUGUUGAAGACAAUUGUAAGCACUGUCAAUGCGUCACUGUCCUAUUUACUGGUGAGACUGACCUAGUGAGCUGCAUGGAGGGACACCUCUGCCAACAAAAAGGUCAGUAUUACCGUUUUAAGAAAUUGCAUUAUUUCAGUGUUUGAACUGUUUUAGUUUCAUGGUGACAAGCUUCUGUGAACAUCUUUGAAUACUUCCCACGGCUGCCAUUUUGAAUGGAGGUGAUCACUAGCAGCAAGGAGGGUGGAACGUGUUGGGGUUUUACCAUGUUGUGAAUAGUUUUGUGUAGUUUGAAAGAUGUUUGUUACAUGCUUCUUUAAAAAAAAACCAAAACCUUUAUUCUCAACUUCAGGAUGCUUUGAGAAUACAGGAUCAUUUGCCUGGCAGGUUUUAUUUUUUUUAUCCUUGUUUUGGAGAAAAGUGUGGAAAGGAUAGAGAAAGAACA